rnacentral:lncRNA from 1 species
UAUUAAGCUCUUUCAUUUUCUGAAAACAAACACCACCAAAACCCAGCAAAUCAACUUCUUGUUCUGUUGCUUUCGAUUCAAGUGGUAAUUUUAAUUCUUAUGCAGAAAUUAUGUAAUUUUAUUCCAGCACAUCAAUGAUUUCUUCAUUGUUUUCAUAUCUGCCCAAAACCCAAAACUUUACAACAGAAUUCUGUUUUCAAAUCAAAACAUGCAUACAUCCAUUUUCUGUAAUUCCAUAAGGAAUCAAAUAGAAUAAAGAUAUUAUUAGGAAUCAAAUAGAAUAAAGAUAUUAUUAAUUACACAGAAAAGGGAAAAAUAGGAGAAGAAACUGGAGAUGGAGUUUGUGGCAUAGAACAGGGGGAGGGACGAUGGAAUAGCGCCGCCGUGCGCUGUUGCUGGCGGAAGGCGGCGGCUGGCGGAAGGAAGAAGGGGCAGUGGUGCGGUGGCCUCGGCCGCCGUUGCGCUGUUCCGGUCGGACAAAGGGGGAGGCGGAUGGGCGGUGCUAGAUCUGGAAAAGGAGGGACGGCGGCUNACCCUCAUUGCCUUCUUCGAGAGUAUUGGAUUCAGGUACCCCUCCCCCUCUUGAUUAUUGUCCUCCCAUUGUUUUUUAGUUGUUUAGGUCUUUAGGUUUUUAGUCUUUUGUUUUGUGUGUCUUGUUUAAUUUAGGCUUGGGGUUGGUAUGUCUUUCCAAUCGUUGAUCUGCCUUUAUUUAUUUAUUUAUUUAUUUAUUUUUGUUUUUAUGUCCGUGUCAUGGCCUAUCCCUCCUCUCCACCCACUUUGCCCAAGGCAAAGUGUGUGGGUAGGGGAAGAGGAUAGCCACCUUUUUGUGCUUUGUGUUUUUGUUUUACUCACUCACUUUGCUAAAUUAAGGCAAAGUGUAUGAGUAGGGAAAUGUGUGUCUAUUUUUUGUUGCGUUCUAGGUCCAUGAGUCGGCCCUUACAUGACUACUUUACCCAAGAUAAAGUGUGUGAUGGGGGGGGGGGGGGGAGAGGACGCCUACAUGACUUCAGAGUCUUGUUUACUACUUUGAGCAUGGAGAAAAUAAAGGCCAAACAACUUUUUAGAAAUUUUCCAGUUUUGCAUAAUCGUAUGUAGAUAUAUAUGACGAAUUGAAUUGAUCAUGAACCAUAUGAGUUUUUUGAGCCAAUUUUUGUUGUACAUAUCAUGACUCGCAUUCUUUUAUUCUUGUGUGUACGUAUAUGACGGACUUAUCUUGGCAAUAUGCUAGACCUUGCGUGCUUCUUUUAAUCAAAACUCCAUUGACCUAGAUUUUUAUUUCGAUUUUUGUUUCUAGAUUUUGCAUAAUUAUUCAGGUGAAUUCGAGCAGAACAAAUUCAUGAUGAGCAAAUUCUUAAACCCUAGUAGCAGCGACGGCGCCGGUGAGGGAGAAAGGAAGAGAGAAGAAAGGGAAGUCAGCGGCGUGAGGGAGAAAGGAAGAGAGUGAA